rnacentral:rRNA from 1 species
UACGUAGGGUGCGAGCGUUGUCCGGAAUUACUGGGCGUAAAGAGCUCGUAGGUGGUUUGUCGCGUUGUCCGUGAAAUCCCCGGGCUCAACCCGGGAACUGCGUCCGAUACUGGCAGGCUUGAAUCCGGGAGAGGGAUGCGGAAUUCCAGGUGUAGCGGUGAAAUGCGUAGAUAUCUGGAGGAACACCGGUGGCGAAGGCGGCAUCCUGGACCGGCAUUGACGCUGAGGCGCGAAAGCCAGGGGAGCAAACGGG